UGCAAGUCGAACGAAAAGAGGGAAAGAGCUUGCUCUUUCCGGAAUUGAGUGGCAAACGGGUGAGUAACACGUAAACAACCUGCCUUCAGGAUGGGGACAACAGACGGAAACGACUGCUAAUACCGGAUAAGUUCCAAGAGCCGCAUGGCCCAUGGAAGAAAAGGUGGCCUCUACCUGUAAGCUAUCGCCUGAAGAGGGGUUUGCGUCUGAUUAGCUGGUUGGAGGGGUAACGGCCCACCAAGGCGACGAUCAGUAGCCGGUCUGAGAGGAUGAACGGCCACACUGGAACUGAGACACGGUCCAGACUCCUACGGGAGGCAGCAGUGGGGAAUCUUCCGCAAUGGGCGAAAGCCUGACGGAGCAACGCCGCGUGAGUGAUGACGGCCUUCGGGUUGUAAAACUCUGUGAUCCGGGACGAAAAGGCAGAGUGCGAAGAACAAACUGCAUUGACGGUACCGGAAAAGCAAGCCACGGCUAACUACGUGCCAGCAGCCGCGGUAAUACGUAGGUGGCAAGCGUUGUCCGGAAUUAUUGGGCGUAAAGCGCGCGCAGGCGGCUUCCCAAGUCCCUCUUAAAAGUGCGGGGCUUAACCCCGUGAUGGGAAGGAAACUGGGAAGCUGGAGUAUCGGAGAGGAAAGUGGAAUUCCUAGUGUAGCGGUGAAAUGCGUA
rnacentral:rRNA from 1 species